AGAGGCUCCACCUUCUUUCCCGUGUUGGCAGCGUUGAUUGUGAGCGGGAGAUCUGACGCUGAUCAGACAGCUGAGCCAGAAACCACUAAGAUCAGUUGGAACUGUUGCACUUUCUGGCAGUUGAUUGGCAGUUGUUUUCAGUUCAACUGAAGUGCCCUCCGUGUCUGGAAUGAGAGUCCCUGUCUAGUUGUUUUGAACGUGCC